rnacentral:rRNA from 1 species
GGAGUCUGGACCGUGUCUCAGUUCCAGUGUGGGGGACCUUCCUCUCAGAACCCCUAAGGAUCGAUGGCUCGGUGGGCCGUUACCCCGCCGACUACCUAAUCCUACGCAUCCCCAUCCCUCGGCGAUGAAUCUUUCGUCCAACUUAGAUGCCUGCAUCGGACAACAUAGGGAAUUAAUCCGACUUUCGCCGGGCUGUGCCCUACUAAGGGGAAGGUUGGAUACGCGUUACUCACCCGUGCGCCGGUCGCCAUCUAUCAAAGCAAGCUUCGAUAAUGAUGCCCCUCGACUUGCAUGUGUUAAGCCUGUAGCUAGCGUUCAUC